UCCUUGGAAGAUUAGUAGUUAGGCCUCAGCGCUCUCACGGCCCACCACGGCCUGGGUUCGAUUCCCGGCCAGGGAA